GCCCCGUGCGCUGCACAUGGCCCCGGCCCCGGACGGAGAGCGGGAGGGCGGCGGGCAGGCCGGAGCCGGGUGCGCGGGGACGGGGAAAGGGCUGCGGGGCAGCCGGCGCUGCGGGCUCCCCGGGGUGGGGGCCGAGCGCUAGUCGCAGCUGCCCCGUCGCCUCCCGCGGUGCCCUGCCGCCCUGAUGGCGACCGGCGAGGCUGGGGAGCGGCCGCGGCACGGCAGGGACGGGCAGAGGAGUGCGGGCGUCAUUAAACAGUGAAUAGAGCUCAGUUAUGCUUUAAGAAGUCAAGAUGCAGCUGGCUGAACAGACAGAACAAGGCCACCACGUUUGGCUCAUCUGCCUGGUGCCAAUAGAGAGCAGCAGCCCGUUCUGAUUAUGGACUCAUGCAGAGGUGAAAUUGCUCCCUUGGAACCGGUACAAGAUACAUAGGCAUGCUGACACUUGAAAAGGACAGUAGCAGACAAGACAGACUGCAUGCAGGUGCACCACAAGUGGAAGAAGCUGCUGGAAUCCAUCUAGAGUAGACUGCUAAUCGGGAGUGCUUUGAGGUGACUUGUAAGCAAAGGCAAUGCCGUGACAGCCUUCAGAAGCCACGGCCUUUGGUUUAUUUUGGGAAUGCGACUUCUGAAAUCCUCUGAAAGUGAUAUCAGUAAAGUCUAGAUGACACAAACAGCUGGCUCCACUUCCGAUGGGAGCACUUGCCAGUAACCGAAGACCCUCCUUGUAUGCGCAGAAGGAAGCAGAGCCCAGAGGCACUGAAACCAUGCCAGCCCUGCUGAAGGUAGCACUUGAUCUGCAGAGGAGCCACCGGGAACAUGAGACUCCAACCGGAGCCAUUUACACGCUGCUGGAAUGUGGCCACAGGAACAAACACUGUGGUGUAAAUUCUGCCUGGGUGAAGGAGAGGCCGGAUUAUUGUCCCACAGAGGUCCCUCCCCACCUGCAGCCUGUCACCACUGGGCAUCCGCUGCUAAACAGCAGUAAGAAAGGUGAAGAACUGAUCCUGAGUUAUCCAUUUAAAAGCUGUGUGAGCUGCAAAAAUUGAAAUGAAAGAGGGGGUUAAUUGCACUGAACGUGCUCAGAGGAGGCAGAGCUAGGCUUUCCUGUGGAAAACUGCCAUAUGUGACUCUGCACGCAUUUAUCCUUCCUUUGACUUGUAAUGUGGAAAAAGUCAGUAAUCACAACAACUCAUGAUGUGUUGUCUCACUUGCAGGGACUGCUUGUGGCAUACAUGGAUUGACACAAAUCCUUAUCAAAACUGGAAUUAUUAUCUGCAAGUCACACUUCAGGUUUCUCAAAUAAAACUACAUUUGAAUUCUGCAGCUGUGGUACCUUCUGGCUUUUCAAAAGCAAGGAAGGCCACUUAUCCCUGUGGGAAGAUGCCCAAGCAGGGGACAGGAGGAAUGUGUUAUGGAAUUGCUUACAGUUCUGCUUACAGUUCUGCUUACAGUUCUGCUUACAAACUGCUUUGCUACUCGUGCGCCAUCUCUGUGGCUUCACACACCCUGUUAAGAAAACCACUUUUCUUUCUCCUUGUUUUCAAACUGAGAUUCAUUUACCACCUGUGACAAU